rnacentral:rRNA from 1 species
ACACGACUACAUUAGACUACCCGUGUAGUCCUAGCCGUAAACUAUGCUCGCUAGGUGUCGAGGGACGGUGCGACCGUUUCUGGUGCCGCAGGGAAGCCGUGAAGCGAGCCACCUGGGAAGUACGGUCGCAAGGCUGAAACUUAAAGGAAUUGGCGGGGGAGCACCACAACGGGUGGAGCUUGCGGUUUAAUUGGAUUCAACGCCGGAAAUCUUACCGGGACCGACAGCAACAUGAAGGCCAGGCUGAAGACUUUGCCGGAUUAGCUG